UUACGGGAGGCAGCAGUGGGGAAUAUUGGACAAUGGGCGCAAGCCUGAUCCAGCAAUGCCGCGUGAGUGAUGAAGGCCCUAGGGUUGUAAAGCUCUUUUACCCGGGAUGAUAAUGACAGUACCGGGAGAAUAAGCCCCGGCUAACUCCGUGCCAGCAGCCGCGGUAAUACGGAGGGGGCUAGCGUUGUUCGGAAUUACUGGGCGUAAAGCGCACGUAGGCGGCUUUGCAAGUCAGAGGUGAAAGCCCGGGGCUCAACCCCGGAAUAGCCUUUGAGACUGCAUCGCUAGAACGUCGGAGAGGUGAGUGGAAUUCCGAGUGUAGAGGUGAAAUUCGUAGAUAUUCGGAAGAACACCAGUGGCGAAGGCGACUCACUGGACGACCGUUGACGCUGAGGUGCGAAAGCGUGGGGAGCAAACAGGAUUAGAUACCCCGGUAGUCCU
rnacentral:rRNA from 1 species